UGGGGAAUUUUGGACAAUGGGCGAAAGCCUGAUCCAGCAAUGCCGCGUGUGUGAAGAAGGCCUUCGGGUUGUAAAGCACUUUUGUCCGGAAAGAAAUCCUUGGCUCUAAUACAGUCGGGGGAUGACGGUACCGGAAGAAUAAGCACCGGCUAACUACGUGCCAGCAGCCGCGGUAAUACGUAGGGUGCAAGCGUUAAUCGGAAUUACUGGGCGUAAAGCGUGCGCAGGCGGUUUGCUAAGACCGAUGUGAAAUCCCCGGGCGUCAACCUGGGAACUGGCAUUGGUGAGCUGGGCAGGCUAGAGUAUGGCAGAGGGGGGUAGAAUUCCACGUGUAGCAGUGAAAUGCGUAGAGAUGUGGAGGAAUACCGAUGGCGAAGGCAGCCCCCUGGGCCAAUACUGACGCUCAUGCACGAAAGCGUGGGGAGCAAACAGGAUUAGAUACCCUGGUAGUCCACGCCCUAAACGAUGUCAACUAGUUGUUGGGGAUUCAUUUCCUUAGUAACGUAGCUAACGCGUGAAGUUGACCGCCUGGGGAGUACGGUCGCAAGAUUAAAACUUAAAGGAAUUGACGGGGUCAUAACUGUUUCCU
rnacentral:rRNA from 1 species